UAGUGAUAGUCGUUGCAGUAGUUAGUUCGGUGAUCGUUGUGGUGGUUGCCGUAACUUUUGGAGCUUAUAUCUGGAAACAGAGAUACAUUCAAAAGAAAAGAAGAGGUAUAAGAUUUAAUAGCUUAUCUCUAUUUGUUAAUAAUAAUAGCAAACCUAGAAUAUCACACCAUUUAUAUCAUCAUAGUAAGAAAUUCUGUUUUUUCUUUUCAAAGUGCUACAAUUUAUCUUGCAAACAAAUUGUGGAAUCGUUAGCAGUUAUAACACAACUACAUUGAGAAACUUUACUGAUCCAAAUGGUCGUCCUGGUUGCCAGGAUCAAAUGAUGCAGAAAAGUUAGCAAAGAGUCUAGAGCAAAAAAGCUUGAACUUCAAGUACAAUACAUUGGAAAAAGCUACUGGAUCUUUUAAUGACAAUAGAAAAAUAGGGCAUGGAGGAUUCGGAACGGUUUAUAAAGUAUUUCUCUUAUCUUAAGACCUAUAAAUAACCACACAUUUUACAUAUCAAGCAGAUUAACAGUUUGGUUGCUGCAGGGAGUUCUACCAGAUGGAAGAGAGAUUGCUAUCAAGAGGUUAUUUUUCAACAACAGACAUAGAGCAGCAGAUUUCUCUAACGAAGUCGACAUAAUUAGCGGUGUCGAACACAAGAAUCUAGUUAGACUAUUAGGAUGCAGUUGUUCAGGACCCGAAAGCCUUCUUGUAUAUGAAUUUAUGCCUAACAGAAGUCUUGAUCGCUUCAUUUUUGGUAAUUUAUGAACUCAUGCAGUAACUUAGACAACUAACUCAUGCUUGUUUAAGCUAGUGCCUCACUUUGACUAUUAAGUGAUUAUUAGUUUAACAUAAUAUGAACUAAAUAUAAAGUGUCUUAUGCAUAAUUACAGAUAAAAACAAGGGCAGAGAACUAAACUGGGAAAAAAGAUAUGAAAUUAUUAUUGGGACAGCUGAAGGAUUAGUUUACCUGCAUGAGAACUCCAAAAUCAGAAUAAUUCAUAGAGAUAUAAAAGCCAGCAACAUCCUAUUGGAUUCAAAGCUUCGAGCUAAAAUUGCAGAUUUUGGUUUGGCCAGGUCCUUUCAAGAAGACAAGAGCCACAUAAGCACAGCUAUUGCAGGAACUUUGUAAGUAUCUUAUAACACAUAAUGUGUGUUUUGGUAUAGAGAAAUGUUUUUUGUACAACUAACUUGGACAAAUGUUGUGACAACUUUUAAGUGAUUAACAAAGCUUAAAUAAGUUGUUAAUUAUGUUUAGUAGAUAGUUAAUAAAUAUAUCAGGUGGCGAAACUCAUUAACCAAGAAUUUGGACGUGGUUUUGAACACCUAAAAAGUUUAGUUAAUCACAUCCAAAUCUGUGGUUAAUGAGUUUUACACCUUAUAUGCUCAUUAACCAUGUUCUGAAUGUAAUUAACCGCCUAUUUUAACUGCGUUAACCACUUAGAUAGUAGUCGCAAAAGUUGUCGAAAUUUAGUUGUUCGAAUAACACAGCUUUUUGGUAAAUACUAAAAGUUUUGAACAAUCAAAAUAAGAGGCAAAGAACAACCUACUAUUGCAAAAAAGAAU
rnacentral:lncRNA from 1 species